GUUGCGCCUGGCCAAGUGACAUACACACGCGAAAAAAAAAUUACCAGCUAGCUUACGCUGUACGGUGUUAAAUUUUUUUUUUAGUGAACUCAACAUUCUUAUUAAUAAUCAUAAUCCAAGGUGGAUAUAGAUAGAUAAAUAAGUAGAAAAGUGAAAAAUAGCAGCGAUAUCCAAAACGAACUUCUUCGGUUUUUUCGCGUGCGAAUAUAAACUGUAAAAGUGCAAAAAAACUUCAGUUAUGAAAUAUUCAGUCGAGCGUUUAUAGUAAAUAUCUUGGCUCCCAAACCACCAGCGUAUAUAGAGCAAAUAACAGCGCAGCUGUCAGACUUGAAAGUGGAAAGUGGCAGCCGCUGUUGGAGAGGAGGACUACGUACAACCUACAUACAUAAGUACAUACUAACCAACGUGUGUUGAAGGCGCGUGUGUGCGGAAGGCGUGUACAAA